rfam:Medicago truncatula strain A17 chromosome 3, whole genome shotgun sequence.
CCCAUAAAUAAUAAAAAGUCUGUUUAGGUCCCUUAACUUUAUUUAAAGUAUCAGCUUGGUCCUUUCUGUUAAUUUAAUUCAAAAAAACGUUAAGUUUAGAGACCAAACUAAUACUAAUUAAAUAAGUUAAGGGACCAAAAUUUAACGUUUUUUUGAAUUAAAUUAACAGAAAGCACCAAACCGAUAAUUUAAAUAAAGUUAAAGGACCUAAACGGACUUUUUAUUAUUUAUGGGA